rnacentral:rRNA from 1 species
GGUGAACGCUGGCGGCGUGCUUAAGACAUGCAAGUCGAACGGCAGUCUUCGGACUGUAGUGGCGCACGGGUGAGUAACGCGUAACUGACCUACCCCAAAGUCGCGGAUAACGAUUCGAAAGAAUCGCUAAUACGUGAUGUGCUGUCAGAUUGUGUUCUGCCAGUAAAGAUUGAUUGCUUUGGGAUGGGGUUGCGUUCCAUCAGCUAGUUGGAGGGGUAAAGGCCGACCAAGGCGACGACGGAUAGCCGGCCUGAGAGGGCGGCCGGCCACAGGGGCACUGAGACACGGGUCCCACUCCUACGGGAGGCAGCAGUUAGGAAUCUUCCACAAUGGGCGAAAGCCUGAUGGAGCGACGCCGCGUGAGGGAUGAAGGUCUUCGGAUCGUAAACCUCUGAAUCAGGGACGAAAGACACUUCGGUGGGAUGACGGUACCUGAGUAAUAGCACCGGCUAACUCCGUGCCAGCCGCCGCCGUAAAAC